GAUCAGUGAUGAAAAUAGCCAAAUCUGAGCAUCAGAAGACCUUUAGUCUACCUGAUACAUGAUCUCUGUAGUUCUGAGA
ensembl:snoRNA